rnacentral:rRNA from 1 species
GACGAACGCUGGCGGCGUGCUUAACACAUGCAAGUCGAACGGAAAGGCCCUGCUUUUGUUGGGUGCUCGAGUGGCGAACGGGUGAGUAACACGUGAGUAACCUGCCCUUGUCUUUGGGAUAACUUCAGGUAACUGGGGCUCAUACCGGAUAGGAGCUCCUGCUGCUUGGUGGGGGUUGGAUCGUUUCGGCGGUUGGGGAUGGACUCGCGGCUUAUCAGCUUGUUGGUGGGGUAGUGGCUUACCAAGGCUUUGACGGGUAGCCGGCCUGAGAGGGUGACCGGCCAAAUUGGGACUGAGAUACGGCCCAGACGCCAACGGGAGGAAGCAGGGGGGAAUAUGGCACAAGGGGGGGAAGCCGGAGGCAGCAAGGCCGCGGGCGGAAUGACGGCCUUCGGGUGGUAAACCGCUUUAGCAUGGGACGAAGCGUGAGUGACGGUAAUGGGUAAAGAAGCACCGGCUAACUACGUG